rnacentral:rRNA from 1 species
AUGAGUAUCUUGAGCUGGAACUGUCGCGGCGCGGGCAAAGCUGCGACAAUUAGAGAACUUCGCAACAUCGCGAACAAUUUUGCCCCUACCCUUUUCUGUAUUGUUGAGACUCAGAUUGAUAGAUCAAGGGUAGAAAAUCUAGCUGGAAGUAUUGAUUAUGACAAUGGAUAUGAUGUUAGUAGUCAAGGUAGAAGUGGAGGACUAGGGCUGUUUUGGAAUAAUACGUACAAUAAAGAUUGA